AGGUAGAUUUCGGUUUUGCAUCCAGAGUCCUCCAGCAAGUUAGCAGAGAAAUGGAACCUGUUCUUUUCUGAAAAAUAAAUUUGCAUGGCCAGGAAGGAGAAGACUGCAGACACUCAUGUACAUAGACAACCUCUCAGCAGAGAAAUGAGGAGAUGUGGCUUUGCAGCUGCUGCCCAUGCUGAUCCCACCAAGUGUAUAAAGUUUGGAGGAGUCAGGCCUACCACCGUUGAUGAGCCUAGUCAGUGCUGUGGCAGUUGAAGGAUCCCUCAGCAGUGGACACACACCUUACUCAUCCUCUGACGCCAUCCAAACACUUCCUGC